UACGGAGGCCCCAAGCGUUGUUCGGAUUUAUUGGGCGUAAAGGGUGCGUAGGCGGCAUUGUAAGUCUGGUGUGAAAGGCGUGGGCUCAACCCGCGGACUGCAUUGGAUACUGCGAUGCUAGAGGACUGGAGAGGAGAAUGGAAUUCACGGUGGAGCAGUGAAAUGCGUAGAUAUCGGGAGGAAGUCCGGUGGCGAAGGCGAUGCUCUGGACAGUACCUGACGCUGAGGCGCGAAGGCUGGGGGAGCGAACAGG
rnacentral:rRNA from 1 species